rnacentral:rRNA from 1 species
UACGUAGGGUGCAAGCGUUAAUCGGAAUUACUGGGCGUAAAGCGUGCGCAGGCGGUGCUGUAAGACAGGCGUGAAAUCCCCGGGCUUAACCUGGGAAUGGCGCUUGUGACUGCAGUGCUGGAGUGCGGCAGAGGGGGAUGGAAUUCCGCGUGUAGCAGUGAAAUGCGUAGAUAUUCGGAGGAACACCAGUGGCGAAGGCGGCCCCCUGGCACAAUACUGACGCUGAGGUGCGAAAGCGUGGGGAGCAAACAGG